rnacentral:rRNA from 1 species
GACGAACGCUGGCGGCGUGCCUAAUACAUGCAAGUCGAACGAGAGCAACCGGUGCUUGCCCUGGUCAAUCUAGUGGCAAACGGGUGAGUAACACGUGGGUAACCUGCCCAUCAGAGGGGGAUAACAUCCGGAAACGGAUGCUAAAACCGCAUAGGUCUUCGAACCGCAUGGUUUGAAGAGGAAAAGAGGCGCAAGCUUCUGCUGAUGGAUGGACCCGCGGUGCAUUAGCUAGUUGGUGAGGUAACGGCUCACCAAGGCCGUGAUGCAUAGCCGACCUGAGAGGGUGAUCGGCCACAUUGGGACUGAGACACGGCCCAAACUCCUACGGGAGGCAGCAGUAGGGAAUCUUCCGCAAUGGACGCAAGUCUGACGGAGCAACGCCGCGUGAGUGAAGAAGGUUUUCGGAUCGUAAAACUCUGUUGUUAGAGAAGAACAAGUGCUAGAGUAACUGUUAGCGCCUUGACGGUAUCUAACCAGAAAGCCACGGCUAACUACGUG